rnacentral:lncRNA from 1 species
UCUGGAAGGCAAGAGGAAUGUCUCAGGAAGACACUCAGUGAAGGCGAGAAGGUGUCUCCUUCAAGUGUAAAUCAAUUAUUUCACAGGUAACAGAGCGGAAGCCCAGCAGGUUCAUGACUUCAAGAUUCAAUGGCAGAACUAGCAUGAAGUCAGAUGGCUGAUAAAGUAGCAGUUGGCAGCCAGGCCUGGAGUCAAACCUGUGGUUAAUAAAGCCCACAUUUUUUAAUCAACCUUGAUGCUACCAUCAGACCAAGAAAAGACAGUGGUAAAAGAAAUGACUGCUGCCUCAAGAUCUGAGGGCUCCACCUUGGAACUGCCCUCAAAACCAGACUGGACAACUAGGAGAUGGGAGCAGUAACCAAUCACAUCUCUGAGGCCUCAAGCAAGGCACUGUAUAUAAACUGUUGAACAAAAAUGAUCGCUCCCUUCAGGAGAUACGGGUCACACAUCAACAUUUAAGUACAAAGGGUGACAAAUGGUGUACCAUAAUUGGAACAUAUGUUCCCUGAACUGACAGUACUCUGUCUCUACAGCACAGUCCCUAUGAAUUAAGAUACUUACAGUGAUGAGGAAUGGUAUGCUGGAAACAGUUUUGCUAUUUUCUUCAAAUUAGCUGAAGUCAUGCUAUGUCUCAAUAAAUUAUUUCUUUCAUCACAU